ensembl:lncRNA
UUUUUUUUUUUUUUCCCAGUGAAAAAGAAUAUAUGUAAAUCAUAAAGACAGCUGAUGGUAAAGCUGACUGAUUAGAACAUAUUUUAGAUAUAAAAAAAGAGAAAAGAGCAACAACUACAAAGCUUUGGUUCCUGCAUUUAUUGCAAAUACAAACUUGCUGUUUUCACUGAGCAUUUCAGAUGUGUGAGAAAUGUAUUAUGGAAUCUCUAAAGCUAAGAUUAUAAUCAUACCUGUGGUGCCAGUUUAAAACAAGGAGACACACUCUGUCAGUCACAGGCUGUUAGAGGCACAGUCAGUCUAAGGACACACAGGUUUUCCAGUGGAGGCGUUGGUUUCUAAUGGACAGAAUUUACUGCUCAAUUACAUUGUUAUGCAACAGUGGCAAACCAGAUUUAGCUGUUACUUUUUCAAAAUAAAUAUAGCUCUACAUUUUACACCUUAGUCUGUUCCUGUGCUUGAUUAAAGAUUUAUAAAUAGUUCCCCCCAUCCAUUCUACAAAUGCUUUGGGUUCAGAGACAGUAUCUAGUUCACAGCACAGGUUAUUGGACUGAGAGACAAAAUUCAAGCAGAUUCUGUAACAUGGAAAAUACAGAGGAACUGAGGUCAGGAGUUUGACUUCUACGUUCAUUGUUUCAUUUUACCACUCAAACAUUGCACCAGACUGCUUUGUAAUUCAGGCAGAAGAGACCCUUGGAGAUCGAUUUUGAGUUUAUAGCCUGAGAAUUUGCUGAAAACCAAAUCCCGCUCCAAGGAGGAACUGGACAGGGGGUGUAGCAGGAACAAGUCUUAAUCUUCUAACUGGUAUGAAAGAGAAAGUAAUAACAUGUACUACUCACAGUUUCCUAACAAGAAGAAUUAAAGCCAUUGCAACUUCAUUACCUUUUUACAAAUGAUCAUCAAUCAAAAUAGCAACGAUCAGGCUUCCAAAGAAACUGCUGACUCCAAAAACAGAAGCUGUGUUGUAAUUUUACCUGUUUCAGCUAUACAUUGAUGGUCAUAUCCACACAGCACAAAUUAUUUCCAAAGGCCUAGACUGCCAGAUUUCGCAAUAAAUUUUUUGGUGCUUCCUUACUAAAAAUUUGGAAGAAUCCCUUCUUAGGGGUGCUGGACAGCUGCUGUCCCUACUGAUAUUAGUUUAUUCAAUAAAGUAUUUCUUGAUUCAACUGAAAAUGAGGUUUUUGUUCCCUUUCCUCAGGUGCAGCUCAGGAGAAUGACCACCUUCUAACUUGGACAUAAGUGAAUCAUCCCUGCCUCACAGCUAUGAUUCUCCUUGUAUUUUAGCAUGAAUCUUUCUCUUGUUGUUUCAGUCUGCUAAAACUGAGUCCAAGAACUGAAUGUAAUAAAAUUAAGACUGUAUAACAAAUAAUAUACAAGAGUUUUAUGACACAGAACAGUAUUGCAAAUAUAAUUUACUCCAAGACAUGGACUUUGAUAUUGCAAAUAAAUGUACAGUAAGUUCUUCAUGCAUAGUGGGACCUAUGUGUAUUCCUGAUAAAAUGCCAGCAAUUAAAAUGAAAAGACAACAUGUAUAGCAGUUUGACAGGGCUUUUUCCUAGUAAGUUGGAUUUAAAGAAGUUGAAUGUAUUUGGCAAAGAAAAGUUAACCAGCUUUAGAAAACUCUGUAAUCCAAUUGCUAAUAGAUGAUCUGUAAUUUUCUUGGCAUUUCAGAAAAUACAUGAACAGAUUCCUGUGUAGACUAAGAGUGAAAAAGGAAAUUAUUAAUUUAAUAUAAAAUAUAUUACAGUAAUAUGUGGAAAAUUACAGAUUAUUUUACAAAGUGGAAAACCUUGGAACUACUCUGUUAUUACUGAGGCUAAACUUCCAUCCACUCCAGAAUAAAGCUUUGACUCAGUAAGGAUCACAGGGGAUGACUCUAGAAAGAUCUGAUAUGAUUAGAGUUUGCUAUUGCACUGCUGUUAAUUAAGGGGAAGGAUUUUUGCAUCAGAAAGAUGUUGUGCUGUAAAAUUCACAUUUCCAAGUCUUUUCCUGAUAAAUGCUCAAUAGAACUUUUUCUGCCUGUGUAACAAGCAGUGAUAAAUUCACAAAUAAGAAAAACCUACCACCUACUGUUACAAAAGAAAAGUGGGACAGAGAGAACAGGGGUGACUGAUGAAAAGAAGACAGGUGGACAUGGCUGAUGUUCAGUUUAUCCUAUUCCCACUGUCAGAAGCAGAGUAUGAGGUCAAGUUGGUCAUCAGUCUGAACAGCAUGAGAUUUCUUAUAUUCCUAUGGAAUAUUUCAGAUGUGAUUGGUAGAUAGCAAUAAGGUUUAACACAAUUAGGGACCAUGUCAAGGAUGAAUGUGCAAAGUUUAAUAAGCUAUUAUGGUGCUAAGAUUAGUUGUCGUUUCAGGUUUUUUAUGGAGCAAUCUGUGCCUACAAAAGCAUGCAGACUGUGCAUGAACAAGAAGCCUGUAUUUGAGAUAUGGAAGACUACACUACUGGACCACCAACCAUUUAAAACAGAGAUUAAUUUUCAGUGUUUCAGUCAUCUGAAUGGAUUCUUUUAUUACUCUUCUAACAGUUCAUGACCUAGAAAAUCUGAAGUAUCUGGGAAAGAGCAAUGGCAAGAGCUCCUUUAGACCUACAUGGAGCAAUUGCAAGGAAAACUUUCUCAUCACCUUGCUUACCUGUCCUAGUUCUGUAAGUAGACCCUCAAACUCUGUUAACAAGCUCAUAAUUGACUCAUAAUCUCAUUGCGAUAUAUCACACUUAAGUGACAGUUUCUGGAAAGAACUGACUAUUUGAAAAACUUUCUCCUAUGGAAUUAUUCAGAGCCCUUAGAUGACGAUUUCAGUGGUUCCCUCACAGCGUUUGAACCCACUGUUUGAACAGAAGUCACGGAAGCCUUGAAACACUCUGAAACACUCUUGAAGCAGUCUGAACACUCUGAAUUGGGCUCUCCAGGUCCUAACAUGUCCUCUAAUGCAUCAUCUGACAUAGGAAGACACCUACAUUGAUGUUUAUUGGCAGCCAAUAAACAUCAGCAGUUACAUCCUUGUUUCCACUUUCCCUGCUUUUCCACAUGUUCAGCAUUCGAGUGCCAUCUCUAAUAGACAACCUUCUGCUGCUCGGGGUCACGAGAAGCAGUGAGGACCUCUGCUACAAGCUCAUUACUACAUUUCAAGAUCUUCAUGUAUCUUGUCCAAAUGACAUCCCAGUGCACUUGAUUCAAUUUAAUCCUCAGAAAUCAUGGAGACGUGGAGUCCUGGGACAGCAGUGCUAUUAUUGUUCACUAACAGGGCUUGAGAGAAUACAAAGUACUGGGACAGAAGCACCCUAUACCUACACACAAUACUGUCUUUUCACUGAAAGCCUGUCUUAAUUUUCUCAUUGAAGAUAUCCCAAAACCUCAAAUAAAUAAAUUGAUAUCAACAACUUACAUUUUCUUUUUUUUUAUCUUUGUUUGACCUUUCUUUCUGGGCUUGGAGAAAAUACUAGGCAAAAGGAGGAUAUUUUAGAAGCAGCAUUGUGUACAUAGGGUGAGCUGCUUUAUAUUUUAUAGGUGGUAUGCAUUCCUGCUAUUAUAUUUACAUUGGGGGAUGAGAGAAUAUAAAUAUAUUUAAUUUACAAUAUUCUGUGUAGAAGCCAUCUUCUUACAGCCAUAGUCAUACUUAUAAACAAAAUACAUUUCCUAAUUGUACAUUUACUCUUUCCAUAUCUAUGAUUUCCAAGAAGUAUAUAGAGAUUAUAUAUUAUAUAUAAUACAUAGUCUACACUUCAAAAAUCUUUUCUGCUAAACUUAGCAACUACUACUCUGCAAAAGAAUCAAAGAGUGGAACAUUUCUAAAUAAAUAUAAAAAUUAAUCAGUGAAAUAGGUUAAUAUCAUUUACACUCAGAUAAGCUAACAGAAUAAAAUGUUCCUAUCCUGGUAUCUAGACUAACCAUGAUUAAUAGGCUUUAACCAGUCCUUACCAGUUUUAUCUAGUGCUUGAAAUUUUAGCUUGUCUUCCAUAGUAAGUAUCAAACAUUUUUCUGUGAUUACUCAGUCGUUAUUAAUUGUUUAUGUAAUUGCAAUUGUAAAUGGAAUGCUUCACUGAUUCAGUAAUUAGGGAGUUUGAUUUUGAAAUAAUUUAUUAGGUCUUAAUUUAUGUGCUGUGAAAUCUGUUAGAUCAUUUGCUAGUCAGUAUGUUGUCUAGAAUAAAGGCAUUUCUACAAAGGGAUUUUAGGGUGAGGGUCACCAGUAUAAUCAGAAACAUACUCAGUCUGGCCUCCAGCUAAAGAUUAUAUGCUUUUAAGUGUAUUUCUGUUUUGCAAAAUGGCCUUUUGAAGACUUAGCCAUUUCAACAAAAAUCCUCUUUUCUAUAUAAAAAGAGAAAAAGCAAUUAUUCUGCACUGUUGUUUGACUUCCCACCACCACCACUCUGUCCCCUCAAUACAGAUGACCCAGCUGAUCAAGUGUGAGAAGCACAUAGUUCUCUGCACUGACCUGCCUGAACCUCUGGAAUGAAAUCUUCAAAGUUAGAAGCAAAAGUUGGCAUGAAGGCUAAGCAGGGAUUUGAUUAAAGCUUUGGAAUUACCCACACAAUAAAUUGAACCAAACUGAUUUUUGUCAUGUACAAAGGCACACUUAUGUUUUCCACAAUGUAUGGAAGGAAGUGACUGAUAUCAGUUGGCUUUCAGUGUUAAUUUAUCGUAUUCAUCCAUACUCUUAUUAUAAUAGAGGAUUUGUCAGUAUGUUCACUAUUAAAAAAAUCCAGGACUGGGGCUGGGGCUUUUUUGUUGUCAAGCUCAGCUGUUACAAAUGAUAUUUGAGUGAAGCUUCAAAGCUUGUCUCCUUGUACACAACACUCUGAAAUGGAAACCUUACACUUUGAAUGUCUUUAGAAAUGUACAUGUAGAGGGGUUUAAGGAAAAGCAUGGGGCUGCUGAAUAUAUUACUUUGGGCAGGAUUUAUCUGACAAAAUAUAUAUGUCUAUAUAUCAAUACAGACAAAUACAGCUGUCUAUAUCAUAGACUUAUGUAGAUGUCCAUAGGUAGAUGUCAAUAUUUCAAUUAAUCACAGACUCUACAUAAUCAAAAAAGAGAGGUGUGAUUAAUUUUAAUCCAAAGACAUCAGCUAUAAAGUCAGAUGCCAUAGGCACACCCAAGAGUAUCUGUAAGAAGAGAAUUAACCGUGACCAAGUUGCAGUAAUAUAAAGUUAAGUGAAAUGAAUUUCAGAGGAAUAACCUGUGGUUUAAUGUUUUGAAGGGGCUUCUUUUAUCCAAGGGAUUACCUGUCCAGAUUUGUUUUCUCCAUUGUUACUGACUUUACAUGUUCAAGAAACAUAUUUUGGAGUAAUCUCACAUAUAAAUAUUUUUUCUCUGGAUAAAGAUGUAAACUACCAUAGUUGGAUUUAUGACCAUGGUCAAGAAAUGUGCAUAUUCAGCUUCAUUGUCAUCAGUGAAAAUAAAUUUAAAAUACAAAACAAGUAAAAGUCUGAGCCUUUCACUACUUUUAUUUUUCUUUCCAAUCCUAACUCUUCACAUAGUCACAGUCAUGACCUAUUCAACCUUCCUUUACUCUAUAGUAUGCAUUCAGCAGAAACUCCUAAUGAACAACUCUCCAUGAAUAUCAAUGGUUCAAUAAACAGAAGUGAUAAGCAGAUUUUUUUUUUCUCUAUGAAGUUUUUUUCUGGAGCCUGGAGAAAGCUAAAAAUAAGUGGAGUGGGUUAUUAGGAAAAGGAAGAAAAUGCACAUUGGAAAUAGAGCAGAGUAAAACACAGAGGGAGAAACACAAGUUGUAAACAUAUUAAGAAUAAUUUUAAAUGGGAAACAAAGAAUAUGGAAACACAUUUAACUGAAUUUUAUUUGUUCAAUCAUUUAAAAUUUCCCUCAGAUGCAAUUCAGUUCUUGGAUAUAUUAAUAGGAUCUGCUGAAACCAGUGGGAUAAUAAUGAAAGGCAGAUUUUCUCUCUUAAACUAAAUGAGAUGGUUAGAGUGUCAGCACAAUCUGCAAUCAGUGAACUUUUCUUGUCUAUGAGCUUUAAGAUUCCUAAAAAGAGCUCUGAGAAGGCAAGCACAGGAAAGACAUCAAUAAGUAAAAAGACAACUGUUCUUCAUUUAAUCAGAUUCCAAAACUUACUUUAUCAGAAUAACUGAAGCAAACUAGAAAAAAUGUGUAUUGGGAAGCAGUUGUCAGAAAUGUCCCUUAGGAGCUUGUGAUUUACAGCUGAAUUUUAUUCCAUAAUUUUAUAAGUAAUUAAUUGAAGAUUCAUCACUUUUUCCUCUGCCAAUACAUCACAUUUAAUGUUACCUUCUUUAAGAACAUCUAAGAAAAGUUACCUGCACAAUAUCAAAAAACAAAAUAACAGUAUGGACUUCCUCAGGACCAACAAAAUGCUUAUCAGGAGACAAAAAUCGUGAUUAUUUCUCUCAUAUGCUUGCUUUUAUUCCCUGCUUGGCUUGCUGCUUCCUGCAUUGCUGCUACAUUACCUGGAUUCCCAGGGGUUUUCCAACUCUCAGCCAAUAAUCCUCACCAAGGAGGAGGAGGAGGGAGGGAAUGUUACAUUUCUGUGAGAAUCUUUGCAGUUUGCUGCCACUGAGUGAAUUGGAACAAUUUGGCUUUGAGGAAGUGAUUUAUACCACACAUCCAUCACAUAUAACCUGCUCUGCUCUGUUAACUCUGUUUGAUCUCUGGAGGGUUCAGUAGAUUAGGGAGGGUCUUCACACAGAGGUUUCAUUAACAACCAAUCGCUUAACCUGGCAUGACUCCUGUUUGUGCAUUUGGAUGCUUUAAAGUGGGAAGAAUAGGAGGAAAAAAUUGUUAAUGGGGAUCAUUAUUUACCAGUCCAGGAAACACCAAUCAUGCUUUUAGAGAGAAUAUGCAUCCCAUUUCCUUGAUUUUAUGUUCUAGACACUGUAGAAAACAGAAUUGAGGUUUACAAUUUGAGUAAUUCAAAAAUGGUGAUCACAGCAUGUGAAUUCUGGCAGCACAAAGUAUAUCAGUAACCAAAGAGCAUGAAUUUAAUUAAAUUCAUUAUUUAAUUACAUAUCCAGCCAUAAGCUGGAAACUUGAACAUUACAAUCCAGUUUAAUGAGAUAGUAAAUGCAGGCCAAGCAGUUGCACUUUUUAAAUAUUCCAGAUUAAUGGGUCUCUGGUUACUGUCACCUGUUUGUCUGUUCAGAGUUGGGAGAGCUAUUUGAGCAAGUCAAAGAGUUGAUACUAUUAUAAAACAAAGUUAAAGAACAAAGUCGGAAUUAUAGCACAAUAUGACUGUUCGUGUUAUUGGUGGGGAAUUUUGAGCUAUUAGCAGCACACAGUUUUGGAAAUCAUCCAGAGCUGCAGCAGGGAGUUUCCAUGCAAGCAGUGCACUGUGUCUCUGCACUCUCUUACAGAAAAGGGAUAUUCUGUUAUUGAAGGAUUAAAUUUAGUACUUUAUGAUAUCUUUAUAAACCAAAUGACUGGUUUUAAACCAGCAAAGGGCUCACCAUACUUUUACAGUUAACAAAAUAGUGAAAAUAGUGAAAGCAUGUGAAAGUUGCAAAUUUCUUGUUGGACUCAAUAACAUGGAAGAAAAUAGGUAAGUAUCAGCAAUUUUUUGGAAAUAUAUCGAGAAAGUUGGCCGAGCAACUGUCAGGGUUUAUUAGUGGCAACUAUGGUAGCAAGACAAAAAUUUGGCAAUGAUUAUUAAUAUUUAUUUCAAUAACAAAAUAUAAAGAACAGCGUUACAUUCUGUCAUAAUAUUUGAAUGCUUAAAUAUUAUCUGUUAUUAAUGAAUAACAGUUGUCCAAUAUAUCCUAAAUUCUGACUAUCCCAUGCUCCCUAAUCCCUCCCCCCACAGAUGUUCAGAAAAACAGAUGUGCUCUGUAAUAUGCCCUGAUAUUUAAAUGAUAACAGACUCUUGAGUACAAAGCUUUGGAAAUUUACUCUCUUUCAUAUUAAGGUUAGAAUUCAAGCCUCAGUGGCAUUUGCAAAUGUGGUGAUAACACAUGAGAGAGAGAGACUGAAGGGAAAGACUGGAUUUAGUACUUCAUCGAUAAAAACCAGCAACCUUAAAUGUAUAAAGAGUUUUAUUGGUAGUCUGAUGCUUUUCCUGUAGAAUUGUUUCCUGUGUUUCCUUUACCUUUCAUUACCUUUCCUUUUAAGCCUUCUCAAGAACAGUCCCAUGGUCAGUUUCCCAAAAUGAGCAGUCUCUUUCCCAUGAUGGUAAGGGUACGAUCACAGUUAUAGUCUUACAUGAUCAAACUAAAGAUUCUCCUAAUCCAAUAGAAAACAGAAAAUUUUGUAUCCAUCACAAUGUUUUGGUUAGCACUAACAAUCCCAUCCUGGGAUAUAUGUUUAUUAUCUAUAUACAGAUAUCCAUACCCAGAUAUAACACUGUAUAUCCUUAUCCUCUUUAUAUAAUUUUGAAUUUUCCUCUGUUUUCUAUAGUGAUGAAUUCCACAAGGCCAGCAGCAACAUUUAGAACCCCCCUUCACCUUUAACACCGCAACAUUCCACCACUGUUCCUCUGAUUUUUAUCUGUCUCACAUGUUAUAUGUUGUCCUGUAUUAUAGUUAAAUCAAAGCUCAUGUACCUGUGGUUAACUACCAGCACACUACCUGGGACAAGAAGUUUUAUCUGUUAGUAUGACACAGAAUGACAAGGCACAAGUUCAUUUCAUUUUUGGUGAAAAUAAUUUUAUUCCUGUGUUAGAAGGUUGUGAUCUGUGAUUUCUGUAUUUAAUUUAUAUGUUUUCUACACAUUUGUGGGAAAUGGAAUAGUGUGCAAGCACUGGAAGAUUAAAAUCUUAAAAAGUGGCUUUAACAGUUUUGUAAAAGGACUAUAUAUAUUUCCAUAUAGGGUCUUUCCCUGGUAAUAUUCUUUGAGCUCAAGAAAACUGCUGAAUACAGUAUUUGUUGGUCUAUUUGUUUGUUUGCUGUACUGAAACCAAGCUUUCCAUGAUGAUUAACAUGAACAGAAGCCAUUAGAGAUUUUAUUGCCAGAAUAAGGAGUGUCUCCUCUGAUCUCUCCUGUAACAGAUUUUAAAUCUAGCCCCUCAGGAAACAGAAAGUACAUAGUAAUGAAAUAUUGGAGAUUAUUUGCAUUAUGAAGUUACCAAAGCCAGAUAUUGAUUUCUGUAUUUUAUGGUCAUGCAUUUCUGGUAAAACAUGAACAUUUUAUUACCAGUUUUAUCCUGACAUUUCAUAGUGGUUUAUACAAGGAUUACCAUCAGCUGUUGAGCAUUAGGAUGCAUGGGCUUCUUAGGUUUACCUUUAACUGAAUGUGCCUCCAGUCUCAAUAAAAAGGGACUGGGGUGAAAUACUGAAAAGAAGCUGUUAAUCCAGCUGGGCAGAUGUACCCAACAGAGAGAGAAAUGUAUUGCCACAAAGAGAUAAAGGAUGCACGUAAUCUUCUGUCUGCAGCUAGGUAAACUCACCAUGAACUUCUGCUUUAGAAAUUAAGAUACAGACAGCAUCCAAUUUCUAUAAAAGGUGGUAUAAGAUUUUCCUUUUGUUGUUUGCCAAAUGGACACCCACCUUCACCCAGAGCCAGCUCAUGCUGUGUUGAAUCGGGGAUUGAUGCAGAGAUGGAAACAAUCAAGGGGAGCUGCAAACACCGAAGCUCAUUUCAAAAGCAUUCCUUUUCCAGGCCAUCAGCUGCA